AGCAAGAUCAGCUAAUUAAGCUCUUGGGCCCAUACCCCAAAAAUAUGGGUGAAAACCCCUUUCCUGCUA
rnacentral:tRNA from 1 species